rnacentral:rRNA from 1 species
GAAUUGACGGGGACCCGCACAAGCAGUGGAGUAUGUGGUUUAAUUCGAAGCAACGCGAAGAACCUUACCUAAGCUUGACAUCCUUUUGACCUCUCCCUAAUCGGAGAUUUCCCUUCGGGGACAGAAGAGACAGGUGGUGCAUGGUUGUCGUCAGCUCGUGUCGUGAGAUGUUGGGUUAAGUCCCGCAACGAGCGCAACCCUUGCCUUUAGUUGCCAGCAUUAAGUUGGGCACUCUAGAGGGACUGCCAGGGAUAACCUGGAGGAAGGUGGGGAUGACGUCAAAUCAUCAUGCCCCUUAUGCUUAGGGCUACACACGUGCUACAAUGGGUGGUACAGAGGGCAGCCAAGUCGUGAGGCGGAGCUAAUCCCUUAAAGCCAUUCUCAGUUCGGAUUGUAGGCUGAAACUCGCCUACAUGAAGCUGGAGUUACUAGUAAUCGCAGAUCAGAAUGCUGCGGUGAAUGCGUUCCCGGGUCUUGUACACACCG